rnacentral:rRNA from 1 species
GCCGCCCUACGGGACGCAGCAGUGGGGAAUAUUGCACAAUGGGGGAAACCCUGAUGCAGCGACGCCGCGUGAAGGAAGAAGGCCUUCGGGUUGUAAACUUCUGUCUUCAGGGACGAUAAUGACGGUACCUGAGGAGGAAGCUCCGGCUAACUACGUGCCAGCAGCCGCGGUAAUACGUAGGGAGCGAGCGUUAUCCGGAAUUACUGGGUGUAAAGGGUGUGUAGGCGGGUUUGCAAGU